AGUAGUAAAUUAAGAAUAGAGAG
rnacentral:piRNA from 1 species